rnacentral:rRNA from 1 species
CAAGUUGUGUCAUAAAAAUUAAUAUUUGAAUUUAAUUUUUUAGUCAAAAGGAUAAAAUUAAGUUAAAAGACGAGAAGACCCUAUAGAGCUUUAUAUAAUAAUUAUUUAAUUUAUUAAGAUUUAUUAAAUUUAAUUAUUUGAUUAUAUUUUGUUGGGGUGACAGUAAAAUUAAAAAAACUUUUAUUAUUAAUUUACAUUUAUUUAUGAUUAAAUGAUCCAGUUUUAUUGAUUAUAAAUUUAAGUUACCUUAGGGAUAACAGCGUAAUUUUUUUUGAGAGUUUUUAUCGACAAAAAAGAUUGCGACC